GUCCUUGUCGAUUAGUGGUUAGAUCAUCACGUUGUGGCACUACCACGUGAUGGUGGGAACUAGGAGACCGUGAAGACGGAGGCUCGAAUCCUCCCUGGGACA